AAUGCAAAUAAAUUAGCCUUUUUUGUCAUAGCAAAUAAGGAAACGAUGAAUUAAAAACGGAACGUUGCAAAGUAUUUUUUAUUUAAAUUUAAAAUGAACUAUCAUUUAUAUCUAUUUAUUUUUGUCACGCGAAGCACCUAGGUACAAUUUAUGUAUAAAAGUAAGUUGUAUUAAUAAGCUGCGUGUUUUAAAAGGUCAUUAUCGUAAAUACAAUUCCACUAUAUAAAAUAGUUAUUAUCGAAACCACACAAUAUUAUAUUAUUUUGUAAUUACAAAAUGUUAUUGAAAUAUUUCUAGAUUAAAAAUAAAAUUGUGUCUUUUUAAAACACCAACGGCGUUUGUAAAUAUAAUAUAAAAUCUAAACUCAGUUUAAAAUAUAAUUAAAAAAGGGGGAAUCGCCGACAAUGUACCUGAAUCUUCAAUUACACUAAGCUAACUUAGGUCUAGUGUUAGGGUAUUAAAAGUCUAGAAUAUUAUCUUUGACGCUAGGUUUUUGUCACAGGGUCUUAAGCUUCGAUUUUUGGAAUAGGGCACGUCGAAUCGAGCAGGUUUAAAAAUUUAUUUUACGUUUUGUAAAAUUGCUUUAGCACGUGCUAGAAUUUCGCUGUUGUCUUCUAUAUUAAUGAGGGGUAAUUAUUAUGGCACGUUUCCGCUAUAAUUGUUGGCAACUGUUGCAGUUUCAACAACAAGUCAGCUCAAUAUAUUGAAAAAAAUAAUCGUAUUUUUUGUAAAUUUCCCCGGCAUUGAGUUACUCCUCAUUAGAAAUAAAACAAAAUCGUCCAUCGGACCAAUUACAACCAAACACUGACAAUUGCAUUAUCUAUAGAAAUGUAUUAGUGUUGCCAAUUAAAUUAUUUAAAAAAAUUCACAUAUGAACUUAAGUAAUGUCUUAACAAACCUUUUUUAUUUCUUGAUACAUUUAAUGAAAUAAUUGGCAACACUGAUUUAAGAAUGUUCAAAACCAUAGACAAAUAGAUUAAUAAUUUAAGAGUAGAGUGUAUAUAUGUCACUAACACAUGUUCACGAGUUCACUCGAGGUUGUGUUGUUUUUAAUUAAUUUCAAUCAAUUUGUGUAGAUUAAGCCAUAUUGUAUUAUGUGGUUAUAGAACUCCACUUUUGUAUUACGUUUUUCUAUUUUUAUAUACUACAGUUUUAAUUUUAGGUCAUGUCGGUCACUUCAUAAAAUGACACUGUUCAGAAUCAAUAUACUUGUUGAAGUCACUUUUCUCCUCCCUAGCAUACAAUUGACCGACAUGUGAUAUUAAUACGUUUCAGUUUUCCCUCGAACCAAAAUAUUAGUUUAAAGCAAUAACAGAUACCUGAAUAACGUACAACAUGUAUUUAUUAUCAUAAAUUAGCGACGGUACAGUCAGCGCCGUUAUUGUCUGAAGUAUUAUUUUUGCACACUUCGUUUCAGUUUCAAAUCAUUUUAUUCGACGUUGGCUGUACUAGUGCAAUCUUUGCUUUGAUUAAAUAUUGCAGUAUAAAAAAGUUUUAAAUGUUAUAAAUAAAUGGCAAAAUUUCAAAAUAAAUAUUUUAAAUGGCUAAUAAUAAUAAAAUAAAAUGAUAUAAUUUAUAAAUUGAGCAUUAGAUAGAUAUUUAAUCAAAAUAAGGAUUUUUAUAGAAUAAGUAUGUAAUAAUACAGUUAACGAGUACGACUCCAAUGAUAUUAAUUUUAUAUGUAUAGCUUUCUUUCUUGUGGCUUGUCCGUCCUUGGAGUGAAUUACGAACAAAAGCCUGAUAAACGUGCCUCGGUAAAAUUAUUUCGAAUCUCAUUUUGCAAUAUUUUAUUAAUUGUUAAAUGACUCAAGAGGAAGGCAAAUAGGUUUUAUAAUCUACGGUACGGAUGGGAACUAGAUGGCGCUGUUGUAAUUUAAACAAAAAUAAUGCAGACCAAGUUGUCAUUAAAAAAGUUAUAUUAUUAUUUAAGAUAUACGAUUAUUUAUUUAAGUUGUAUCUAUUAUAUAAUACGUAAAACACGGUUUGUUCGUUUAAACGAUAUUUGGAACGAAGUUCUUUAUUGUACGCUUCACUUGACACUUUUCAUAUAUUUGUAUGUAUUUUCUGUACAACAAGGCUACUGACAACAUUAUUGUUAUCGGUUAUUAAUUUUUACAAUUUAAUAAUUUUCAAAAUCAAUAUUUUAUAUUUAAAUUAAUAAUUACAAUUUUGUUAACAUACCUUCACAUAUUUUUCUUUACAUUAUUAAUAAUUAUUAUGCAUAAUAUAUUUCAAAGUCCCACUGAUCGUCUUACGACAAUUAUGGUCUUUUUUCAUGAAUAUUGAAUAAACAUGACAUAUUAUUCCUUGGAGAAGUUCUACUUAAAAAUGUGACGAUGAAGGCAUUAUUACUAAAAACUUUUUGGACAAUGUUUGAAUGUAGCGUUAUCUGAGUUACCCUUUGAUGGUGUUUUUGUUACAGAGCGUUUAUUUCCAUUCCAUUAUUUUAUAUCAAUAGCAAUGUUUAUACAACACAUUCCACUUAUGGCUGCAAUAGAUUUUCACACUGGAUUAUUUAGUUGUUUACUGUUUUAGUUGAACUGGCAACACCGUCAUGACGAAUAAAAUUACACUUACAAUUAUUGUUUACCGUUUAUAUUUAUUUAAAACUUUUUUUAAUUCUAUAAGUCUUGACGGUGCUGCCAUGUUCAACAUAAUAUAUUUUAAUAAUGUCAUAUCACAAUGCAAUAGUUUUACAAUUAUAACGAUCAUAUGAAACUGUUAAUAUGUUAUAUAAUCAAAUUUUCAACGCACGAUAGGAUCACAUAAUUAUCGCCUUUAUUUACUUUGCAAUAACGUUUUAUUUCGAGUGACGGUGAUGUAUGUACUUAGACAAAUGCGUCCAGUUAAAAGAUUUUUUUACACGAUUCAGGUUUAAUUUAUGUAUUUAUUAUUAUUUUUUAUCGUUUGUCUUUCUUCCAUAAGGAGGGAUCUGUUUGGUUUUCUCUAUAUUUUGUUUUGUGUUUGCAUACUUGCUUGCAUAUUUUAUAUGUUGUUUCAAUAAUUUGGUACGCGAAAAGUUCGGCUUUAAGGAUGACUUGUGAUAAUUUAAAUAGUUUUAACCUUCUUACGUGAUCCAAACGUACCAUUUAUAAUGAGUAACGAUAUAUUUUUUCAUUAUUGUUUUAUUUUAUGAAUAAAAUUAACUGAUUUAAAAAUGGAAAAUAAAUCAAGUUAUUAUUAAAUUUAUUUACGUUUUGUUAGUUUGAAAUAAGAAUUAAUUACAAGUCAUCCUUACUUAGAAGAGUAAGUUAAGAAGUUGUUGUGUAAUUAUUAUACUUACAAUGUAAUUAUAUUGUGUGGCUCAGUAACGAGCCCAGUUUAAGUUAAUCGGCUGGAAUAUUUCGACUUUGUUUUAUUUACUUAAUCUACGACCAAGCUUAUACAUAUAUUUUUUUAAAUAUCGAAUUAAUUUAAUCAAAUUAUUUGGUGAUGUUUCCGCUGAAAUUUGUUACAAAUUAAUGAUUUGUGAAAAUCGUCUAAUUACGUAACAUUUUUCAUUUUAAUAUGUAAACAUUAUCAAACUUAAAAUAAAAUCUCUGUUUUGCGUUAGUCUAUAUCUAAUUGUAAUAAAUAAUAAAUUAUUUAUUACAAUUACAAAAAAAAAAUCGAAAUAUUCUAGUUUUGUAUAAGAAUAAUAUAAGAUUUCGUCAAAAAAAAAAAACGGGACAUGAAUACUAGGAAUAUGUAAAAACUCGUAGAUUUUUUGUUUUGUUACCAGUAUCUACUAAAACAUUCGAGAUACCUUUAUUCCGUUUUCGAGUAAGUUUCCUAAGGUCCUUUGAACAAAAGCAUUUAUAUAUGACGUUGCUAUAUAUAUUAAUAAAUCAUUAGUUUUAUUUAAAUUAAAUCUUUAAAUAGUAAACUGCGUAAAUAAUUUGUUCCUAAUAUUCAUGUUUCCGAAAAUAAUGAAUUAGUUGUAAAUUAUAAUUGAAUCUACCUCAACCAAAUUACCCAUUAACGUUGUUUAUAAGUGUUCUCUUGAGUCUUAUAAUUAUUACUAAUAAAUAACUGAAUUGUAGUGUUUUUGAUAAUAAAGUUAUUAUUAGUUCCAACUUCACAUUUUGAUAUGGUAACUAUUGUUACCAAAAAUAUUGAAUGUGGUUGACGGUGUGUUGCUGCGGUAUUGUCAAGAUUGAAAAUGAUAUUAAAUUUGAAAAUAAAUGCUA